rnacentral:rRNA from 1 species
GACGAACGCUGGCGGCGUGCCUAAUACAUGCAAGUAGAACGCUGAAGCUUGGUGCUUGCACCGAGCGGAUGAGUUGCGAACGGGUGAGUAACGCGUAGGUAACCUGCCUGGUAGCGGGGGAUAACUAUUGGAAACGAUAGCUAAUACCGCAUAAUAGUAGAUGUUGCAUGACAUUUGCUUAAAAGGUGCAAUUGCAUCACUACCAGAUGGACCUGCGUUGUAUUAGCUAGUUGGUGAGGUAACGGCUCACCAAGGCAACGAUACAUAGCCGACCUGAGAGGGUGAUCGGCCACACUGGGACUGAGACACGGCCCAGACUCCUACGGGAGGCAGCAGUAGGGAAUCUUCGGCAAUGGACGGAAGUCUGACCGAGCAACGCCGCGUGAGUGAAGGAGGUUUUCGGAUCGUAAAGCUCUGUUGUAAGAGAAGAACGAGUGUGAGAGUGGAAAGUUCACACUGUGACGGUAUCUUACCAGAAAGGGACGGCUAACUACGUG